UACGGGGGGGCAAGCGUUGUUCGGAAUUACUGGGCGUAAAGGCUCGUAGGCGGCCAACUAAGUCAGACGUGAAAUCCCUCGGCUUAACCGGGGAACUGCAUCUGAUGACUGGAUGGCUUGAGAUUGGGAGAGGGAGUGCGGAAUUCCAGGUGUAGCGGUGAAAUGCGUAGAUAUCUGGAGGAACACCGGUGGCGAAGGCGGCAUCCUGGACCAACACUGACGCUGAGGAGACGAAAGCCAGGGGAGCAAACG
rnacentral:rRNA from 1 species